CCUCCAAAUUCAUUCUCCCUCCCAAACUUAAAAUUAACAAAAUCUUCCCCCAUUUUUUCCCUCUAAUUUCAUCAUCUAAGAACAUAAGACACACAUCUAAAAAAAAUUCCUAUUUUUCUUAAAUAUUUGGGAAAUAAAAACCUCCAUUUUUCAGACAACUUUAAUACUUAUCCCAGUAGUCUCUCUCUCUCUAUUUUUUAACUCCAGAGCGAGAGUCGAGAGUUCUCUUUUCCUCAUCAUCUUCAAAUCUGCUUAGAUUCUAGGUUUAGCCUGAAAUUCUAGUCUUCGUUUCAAAUAAUCAAAACCCAUGUUCUAGAAAUCUUAUAAUCGAUUCAUUAGUUUAAAUCUUCCUAAACCCUAAUUCCAUAAAAUCAACUUUUUCUCUGAAACCUAAAAUUAAAUCAUUCAAUACAGCAGCAGUUUGUGGAAUAUCAUCAGGACUGAGUAUGAUAGAGGUGUAAAUGCUUCCAGGUUGAGUAGGCUAUUGAAGCAAUUAAGCUUGGAUUAACUGCAAUUGGAUUAAAGACUAAAGAAGGAGUAGUUCUUCUUGUCGAGAAUCGUAUCACUUGAUAUCAGCUCACACUAUUAGUAUCAAUUUUGUUUAAUGUGUUUUAGAGUAGAGUUUCCAAAUUAGGGUCUGCUACUUCCUUAUGUUUGAUGUCUGAGUACGCUGAAGUGAUUUUUUUUCUUCAAGAUUUCAAUUUUGUUUAAUGUGUUGUAGACUAGGAUUCACCACAUAAGCUAGUCUUGUGAUACCGAUUUGGGGUUGCUAUAUCAAAUUUGUGGUCUACAUAGUUGAUAGAUUUUUCCAUUCCAUCUUAACCAAGAAACACCACAAACAUUCUUAUCAUUAUAAAAAUUUAUUUUGAUUCCACAAACUAGGGUUACGGUUUAAUGCCACUGUGUAUAACUUAGAAUGUUCUGCAUUUGAUUGUAUCCAACACUGCAUUUGUAUUAUCGAACUGUCAAAUCUGGUGGGUGUUGUUAAAUGAAAGUAUUGAUGAUAAGAGAGUAAAGUGCAGUGCAGGGGUUGAUUUGAUGUGCCACUGCACUGAUAAAUUUUCUUAUCCAUUCAAAAGAGAAAACAGAACUUUGGACAAUGAAACCAAAAAACUUAUAUCAUAAGUGUAAAAGUUAUAAUAAAGUAUGAGAUGGACAUUUUUUUUUUCAUUUAGACUCUGAAUUUCUCUUCUUCUGAUUCUCAAUUUAAUCAUCAACUUUCAUUAGUCUUGUAAUUGUUGGUUCAGAUUUACAUCUUGUUAAUGUCAGUGGUACUCCUCCUUCCUUUUCUUUAUCAACUACUACUGUUGAUCCUACUUCAUCUUUGAUUACUGUACUGCUACUUCUUCUACUUGAUGAACUUUCACAUGACUCGAUCUUUUCCUCAUUAUCAGUUACUUGAUUUUCCAAUGUGGGUUUCUCAAUCUCUUGACUACUUUCAGUAUUGGUAAUGUAAUUUUGAUCUGUAGUAUUGUCACUAAAUCUACUUAACAUUGAGGAAUUUUUACAUGGAUCUGACCUGCAUCUCAUUAGAAACAAUGCAUUCUUUGGUGGUGAAUGUGAUUCUGCUAACUGUGAUUCUUUAGUAUUCAUGUAUGCCUGUUAUGUUUCAAUCAUGUUGAUGUAGUAGUAUGGUUGGGUGUUGGAGAAUCCCGUUGGCCUGUUAUGUUUCUUUUACCUUUGCACUGGGUAAUGUAGUAAUCCCGUUGGCCUUCUUACCUUUAGACUUAUGAAUUCCACGAUUAGCCAAAGCAUCUAGUGGAUACUUUGUUUUUUUUCCUAAUAAUUUGGUGUUCUGCUUGAAUGCAACUUCUUACUUAUUCUUUUUAUUGGCUGUUUACUUGUAAGGUACCGACGUAUUGACCCCGAAUUUGGAGAAUUCCAGUCGAUAUUUCAAGAUGAACCCCAUUUCAGAUCUUUGCUAGUAACACGCAUUAGUUAAAUGUUGAUUCUGUCGUAAUUGUAUUUUUGUUAUUGGGUCAGAAUGUAUCUUUGCUUUCAAUCACAACAAUUUCGUAAUGAUAUCAUGAUAUAUGCUUUCUGCUCUUUGUAGUUUGAUUUUUAUUGGGUCUGAAUAUUGCUCUUCUUCAGUUACUAAUACUUCAUAUUUCUAUUUGCAGAUUACUAAUACUUCAUAUUUGUAUUUGCAGUACAACAUGUCCAGCUCUUCUAGAGAUACAGCAUCACAACAAAACAAGUCCAGCUCUUUUUCAGUUUAACUAAAGUAUCGAUCGAAUUUGACGAAGGUUUGAAGCCUGUGUCCGAGAGUGCAACCAAAUUAGCUACUAGAGCAGGAGAGAUCAUAAGAUGUCACAUUCCUAUUAACUUCACUGACUGGAGACUCGUGCCUGAUAUUUUCAUAGAUGAUGUUUGGGAAGCUU